rnacentral:lncRNA from 1 species
GGGCUCGGGCCACGUCGACGGGUCGCGGCCGAGCGCCCACACGUUGACGAAGACCUGCGUGUCGCAGGGGAUGCCGUGGCCGAGGAGGGUGCAGGGCUUGAGGGACUUGUGCGGCACGAGGAAGGGGAGGGGAGGGUGCAGCCUCAGGGUUUCGUUGAUCACGCCCUUGAGGUAGGGGAGGUUGAUCACGUCCUUCUCCUCCAGGUACUCCUUGCUCGCCGCGAUGUUCUCGCGCACCUCCGCUUGCGCCUUCUUCAUCACCUCCGGGUGCUUGAUCAGCUCCGCCAUCGCCCACUCCAUCGUCCCCGCCGUCGUGUCGAUCCCCGCG